rnacentral:misc_RNA from 1 species
GAUGAAGAACGUAGCGAAAUGCGAUACUUGGUGUGAAUUGCAGAAUCCCGUGAACCAUCGAGUCUUUGAACGCAAGUUGCGCCCGAAGCCAUUAGGCCGAGGGCACGCCUGCCUGGGCGUCACACGUCGUUGCCCCCCCCAUCUACUCCUUCGGGAUUGCGGGGGGCGGAUGAUGGCCUCCCGUGCGCCUCGCCGCGCGGUUGGCAUAAAUGCCAAGUCCUCGGCGACGCACGCCACGACAAUCGGUGGUUGCGAAACCUCGGUUGCCCGUCGUGUGCGGUCGUCGCGCAUCGAGGGCUCGAAAAAAUUGCCGAGUUCCGGCUCGGCUUUCAACGCGACCCCGGGUCAGGCGGGGUUACCCGCUGAAUUUAAGCAUAUCAAUAAGCGGAGGA